CUUCUACCCUCUGUCCUCACCACACUUAUGAGACCUCCGGCCUCAUACCUUCAAAAGAUCAGGGAUCCAGUCCGAUGAUCUGCGUUCUGACUCAGGCCUCAUUCGCCUUCAGCGCAACGCGGCAAUUGUGCGUCUGCAGGGUGCAAGAGGAGCAUAAACGUGCGGUGUGCUUGCUGACUAACUACAACGUCUGUAGCCCCCCAGCCACACUUGCCACAAGCCCCCAGCACAGCACGACAUGGUGGGGUAGUCGAGGGGGGUGGAGGGCGUGGGGUGUGGCUGAGAUUGGUCGAGGGUGGGCUUCUAUCGCGGUGGAAAACCUGACUCACAAACUGCAAUAAGGGUCCUCUUACAUUGUUGUGUUUUUGUAUUUUGUUGGACUGGGAACACAAACAGAUUUGCACCAAAGCCCUCCCCCCACUCCUUCCACAAUGUGGUUAAGCCAGUGAAUCAGACGUGUGAAUGUAGAGUUUUAACACUUCUGACUGCUGGCAUGGGAGCUUCUGAUGAAGCACGGGGGAUGUCUCCAACCGAGGACAGGCGCUUGUCGGGGGGAGGAGGCCUUAAUUAAAUAUAAAUGUUUGAUGGCUGGGGACUGGCCUCACAGUGAGCCCCUCCAGUACACGUUGUGGGUCCAGGCCCUCUGUGUGUACUCUUUGCUGAGGGUGUCCCCCCGGGGACCUGCAAAAGAGCAAACCCAUCUCCGGCAUGGAGGAUUUCCCAGAAUGCUGUUCACCACCAGCCCAUAUGGUUGUUCUCAAAUGAGACAAAGACCGGAAUAAACAAACUGAUAAUAAACUCUAACAGCAAACAGGUACAUCUCACGGGACUGUGAUUCCGUUUGAUGUGAGACUUUGACACUUUGAAGCAGAUUUUUUUUUUUUUUUUAACAUUUAUAAAAAACUUUUCUUCAGGCAGUAUGUAAUCAGUAUUUAGAUGUCAUUAUGUCAGCAUGUGGUGCUUUGUGUGUGUAGGAAAGAGACAGAUGACAUGACGAGAGGUAUUCUUCUAUGUGCACAGGGGGCAUCGAAAGGCAGCAAAGGAAGAUUCCUGAAACUCCUUAGUCUGUAUAAAUCGUCAGUAUAAAAUUUGUCCCAGCUAAAAACUGAAGAGACCGCCCAGUCAAACUAAUACACAUAAAGGGGCCUAAUCUAAAGGUUACUUGGGAGGCCCUCCUGCUAAGAACACUGAUGAUUGUCACACAUUACAGGUACUUCAAGAGAACAGAGCAACUGGCAACACUGCCUAUAGCUGGAACUGGCCCUACCCAGGGAAACUCAUACAGGUCAGAGGGAAACAUACAGUCACACUGAUACUCAUACAGGUCAGAGGGAAACAUACAGUCACACUGAUACUCAUACAGGUCAGAGGGAAAUACACAGUCACACUGAUACUCAUACAGGUCAGAGGGAAACAUACAGUCACACUGAUACUCAUACAGGUCAUAAGAAAACACACAGUCAGGCUCUGAUAGUCAUGCAGGUCAGAGGGAAACACACAGUCACACUGAUACUCAUACAGGUCAGAGGGAAACACACAGUCAGACACUGAUACUCAUACAGGUCAGAGGAAAACACACAGUCACACUGAUACUCAUACAGGUCAGAGGGAAACACACAGUCACACUGAUAUUCAUACAGGUCAGAGGAAAACACACAGUCACACUGAUACUCAUAUAGGUCAGAGGAAAAUACACAGUCAGACACUGAUACUCAUACAGGUCAGAGGGAAACACACAGUCAGACACUGAUACUCAUACAGGUCAGAGGAAAACACACAGUCAGACACUGAUACUCAUACAGGUCAGAUGGAAACACACAGUCAGACACUGAUACUCAUACAGGUCAGAGGGAAACACUCAGUCAGACACUGAUACUCAUACAGGUCAGAGGGAAACACUCAGUCAGACACUGAUACUCAUACAGGUCAGAGGGAAACACACAGACACUGAUACUCAUACAGGUCAGAGGGAAACACUCAGUCAGACACUGAUACUCAUACAGGUCAGAGGGAAACACACAGUCAGACACUGAUACUCAUACAUGUCAGAGGGAAACACACAGUCAGACACUGACAUACAGGUCAGAGGAAAACACACAGUCACACUGAUACUCAUACAGGUCAGAGGGAAACACACAGUCAGACACUGAUACUCAUACAGGUCAGAGGAAAACACACAGUCACACUGAUACUCAUACAGGUCAGAGGGAAACACACAGUCACACUGAUACUCAUACAAGUCAGAGGGAAACACACAGUCACAUAGAUACUCAUACAGGUCAUAAGAAAACACACAGUCAGGCUCUGAUAGUCAUACAGGUCAGAGGGAAACACACAGUCAGACACUGAUACUCAUACAGGUUAGAGGGAAACAGUCAGACACUGAUACUCAUACAGGUCAGAGGGAAACACACAGUCAGACACUGAUACUCAUACAGGUCAGAGGAAAACACACAGUCACACUGAUACUCAUACAGGUCAGAGGAAAACACACAGUCACACUGAUACUCAUACAGGUCAGAGGAAAACACACAGUCACACUGAUACUCAUACAAGUCAGAGGGAAACACGCAGUCACACAGAUACUCAUACAGGUCAUAAGAAAACACACAGUCAGGCUCUGAUAGUCAUACAGGUCAGAGGGAAACACACAGUCAGACACUGAUACUCAUACAGGUUAGAGGGAAACACUCAGUCAGACACUGAUACUCAUACAGGUCAGAGGGAAACACACAGUUAGACACUGAUACUCAUACAGGUAUCACAACCUAAGGUAUUUUGUACUCAAUUCGGGAAAUUGGCUGUAGUAUAUUACAGGGCUGGAUGACAUGCGAUAUUAAUACCAACAUCACAUGUUAUGCACAUGCAAUUUUUACUACUCAUAUUAAAAUCAAGUUUUACUUACUUUUUUUGUAUGGACAUCAUAGCAAAGGGAGUUUAAGUUUUGCUAAAACAUUAUUACUCUGACAUAGAAAAAACCUA